rnacentral:lncRNA from 1 species
AAAAAUAGUAUAUAUGUGUUCAGCUUAUUGUAGAGAGGCUAUCCAAACACAUUAAUACAGAAUGCUAUUCUCAUUGCCUCUCUAAUUUCUUUCUCACCUAUUUCUUCUCCUUCUCUACUCAUAAUUCUUCUUCUUUCUCUCCCUUAAAUCCUUCUUCAGUGCUGUUUGGCAAAUUGCUAUAGCACAGUUGGUAUCAGAGUUGUGUUUCGAAGUGGGUAGUGUGUCAAUAGAGUCGCAAUAUGACUAGAUCUGCAAUGGUGAGUGCUGUGCUGAUUCUGUUAGAUUGGAUGGGUUGGAGGAAUAAAUUAGAAUUAUGCAAGAAGAGUCUAGGAGAAUAUGGAAUUGCUAAGGGAGGAAAUCAAGCAGAAUGUUGUGGAGACUAAAAAUUCCAUUAUGGAGAAAUUUUGAUCUAUUCUUUCUAGAAUUAUAAACGAUAGGGGAAAAGGGGCAGUCAAUGAAGAGAGUAUGGCUAAUGGGACUAUUGUGAAUGCCGGAGGAAGGGGAACUCUAUCCAUACCUAGAGAAAUUGUGAACCAACAGCAAGGAUCUGGUUCUGGGAGUGGAAAUUCCACUGGAGCAGUGUUUGGGUCUUUACUUGAUUCUAAAGGUAUGCAAAAAUAUCUUCCCAAAAUUGAAUUAAUAACUUUUUAUGGUAAGGAACCUAAAGUGUGGGUGAGAAAAUGUAUUAAGUGUUUUGAACUAUACAAGGUCCCAAAUGCAGAGAAGGUAGGGAUUGCUAGCUUAUUUUUGGUUGACCGAGCUAAUGCUUGGUAUCACAAUUGGAUUAAGAGUAGAGGUCCUCAUUCUUAGGAGGAUUUUGAGAGGGAGUAGUAUGUGAGGUUUAGGGAUCAAGGAUUAAAAGAUAUAGUAGAGGAAUAUAUGAAGAUAAGACAAGACGGAAGUGUAGAAUGAGAAUUAAAAUGGAGAGGAUGAUGCCUCAUUUAGGAGAAAGAGUGUUUUCUUUGUGGAUUUAUUGAAUGAUUGAAGGAUGAAAUUCGGCCAAUGAUUAGAAUGCUAAAACCCACAGACCUUGCCCAUGCUUUGGAGAUUGCUAGAUUUCAAGAACAACUCUUAAGUUGUGCUAAGAAAAUCAAUUAUUUCCCUAAAACCUCUCAGCCUUAUUCCAAGCCAAACACCUUCAUUCAAAACCCAUAUUCUUGCAAAUUCAGCUAAACAAACCAGACCUCUACUUAUCCACCAAAACCACCUGAUUUGGAAGCAACAAUUAAUUCCAAAACAACCCCUGUUUCCAUCAAAACCCAGCCAAACAGUACCCAAAAUAUCAGUAGAUCAAACACCAAACAAAACUACCUUCAACCCAAAUCCAAGAGAAGGCAAGUGUUUAAUUCUGUUUUAUUUGACUUUCACAAUGCCAAGAUGACUAUUAUGCAGCAAGAAAUGCGUGUUUUUACAGAGUAUAAGGGUUUUAGCUUCUAAUUCCAAGUUGCUACCUUGCAACAGCUCCAAGUAUCUCAUGCAUAAAAGGGGAAUGGAUUUUCAAUCUCCAGCUCCUUUCACAUUUUUGCCUACUGCUGAGACAUCAGUGAUUGCUAUUUCUGAGUUCUUUCGCCUACUGCUGAGACAUCAGUGAUUGCUAUUUCUGAGUUCUUUCAGAAGAGGCAACAUAUAUUGCAAUCACUUAAAGAAAAUUUGUACUCUACUUAGAGAGUGAAGCAACAAGCAGACAAGAAGAGGACUGCCAGUGCAUUUGAAGUUGGAGAUUGAGUGUUCCUUAAACUCCAACCAUACAGACAGAUCUCCUUGACUAUGAAAAGUCCUUGAAACUCUCAACCAAGUUCUAUGAGUCAUUUAAAUUGUUUCAAAGACUGGUUAGGUUGCUUAUAUAUUAUCGUUGCCCCCAAAUUCCACUAUUCAUCCUAUAUUUCUUGUCUGGUUGUUGAAGAAAAAGAUUGGGAUGAUAUUACACCUGGGCAAGACCUGCACACCAUGUCCCUGAUUUUAAACCUUCUUGGGGACAAGAAGGUUCUCAUGAAGGGGGUAUUGUUGGGUAUUAUAGGAGAAAGAAGAGAAAUGUAAAGGAAGGAAAUAUGUAAUUAGACUUGAGGGUAAAUUGGGCAUAGGUUCAUAAAGUAGUUAGACUGCUGGAAGGUUGUUAUCCAACUAGGUUUUCUGUUAGAAAAACAGUAUAUAUGUGUGUAGCAUAUUUUAGAGAGGCUAUCCAAACACAUUAAUACAGAAUGCUAUUCUCUUUGCCUCUCAAAUUUCUUUUUCUCACCCAUUUCUUCUCAUUCUCUACUCAUAAUUCUUCUUCUUCUUUCUCUGCCUUAAUCCCUUCUUGAGUACUGUUUGGCAAAUUGCUACUGUACACUUGCCAGGUCCAUUGGGUUUUCAUUUGUCAAUUGCUUGUUUGGUCCAAUUAAAGGCUUAUCCUGAUUUAUCACCUGGGUCACCAGGUCAACCCAUUGGGCUGGGCCAGGUUUCAUAAGUAUGGUUAAAACCAUUAAACCUUCUGCAGUUCUGGUAAAAGGAAAAAGAACAAGGAAGCAUAUUUUUCAAUGCUGGGUCUACCAUGGUUGAAAGCAAUUUUAAAAGCUUUAUUCUGUAAUUGUUUUUGUUUGUGAAAGUGGAUGCCUGCAAAUUUUAGCAAUAACAUGAGCAUUAUUAUUAAUUUGAGAAGAGGAAUUUAGAUUAAUAUAAGAAACUGGAGACGAAGAGAUUUUCCUUGUACAACAAAACGGAUCUUAUUUCUUAUGUACAUAUUUUUGCAAAUUACCAAAUUCAAUAUGUUAAGAAUUGUCCAAAUAUGGGACCUAUCGUUUAUAGAGUUUCUCUUGCUGCAGAG